GACAGAGGGUGCAAACGUUGCUCGGAAUCACUGGGCGUAAAGGGCGUGUAGGCGGGCAGUAAAGUCAGAUGUGAAAUCCCUGGGCUCAACCCAGGAACUGCAUUUGAAACUCACUUUCUUGAGUACCGGAGAGGAAGGUGGAAUACCUGGUGUAGAGGUGAAAUUCGUAGAUAUCAGGUGGAACACCAGUGGCGAAGGCGGCCUUCUGGACGGUAACUGACGCUGAGACGCGAAAGCGUGGGGAGCAAACAGG
rnacentral:rRNA from 1 species